rnacentral:rRNA from 1 species
GACGAACGCUGGCGGCGUGCUUAACACAUGCAAGUCGAACGGAAAGGCCCCUUUGGGGGUACUCGAGUGGCGAACGGGUGAGUAACACGUGAGUAACCUGCCCUUGACUUCGGGAUAACUUCCGGAAACUGGGGCUAAUACCGGAUAGGAAUCCUUUCUGCAUGGUGGGGGUUGGAAAGCUUCGGCGGUUUUGGAUGGACUCGCGGCUUAUCUGCUUGUUUGUGGGGUAGUGGCUUAUCAAGGCUUUGACGGGUAGCCGGCCUGAGAGGGCGAGCGGCCACAUUGGGACUGAGAUGCGGCCCAGACUACUACGGGACGGAGCAGUGGGGAAGAUUGCACAAUGGGCGGAAGCAUGAUGCAGAAACGCCGCGUGCGGGAGGACGGGCUUCGGGUUGGAAACCGAUUUCAGCAGGGGCGAAGCUUGUGGUGACGGUACCUGCAGAAGAAGCACCGGCUAACUACGUG